CCGGCGAUGUCCGAAUGGGGAAACCCAGUGCAAUUCGUUGCACUAUCGUUAACUGAAUACAUAGGUUAACGAGGCGAACCGGGGGAACUGAAACAUCUAAGUACCCCGAGGAAAAGAAAUCAACCGAGAUUCCCCCAGUAGCGGCGAGCGAACGGGGAGCAGCCCAGAGUCUGAAUCAGCUUGUGUGUUAGUGGAACGGUCUGGAAAGUCCGACGGUACAGGGUGAUAGUCCCGUACACCAAAAUGCACAGGUUGUGAACUCGAAGAGUAGGGCGGGACACGUGGUAUCCUGUCUGAAUAUGGGGGGACCAUCCUCCAAGGCUAAAUACUCCUGACUGACCGAUAGUGAACCAGUACCGUGAGGGAAAGGCGAAAAGAACCCCGGCGAGGGGAGUGAAAAAGAACCUGAAACCGUGUACGUACAAGCAGUGGGAGCACCUUCGGGUGUGACUGCGUACCUUUUGUAUAAUGGGUCAGCGACUUAUAUUCUGUAGCAAGGUUAACCGUAUAGGGGAGCCGCAGGGAAACCGAGUCUUAACUGGGCGUUAAGUUGCAGGGUAUAGACCCGAAACCCGGUGAUCUAGCCAUGGGCAGGUUGAAGGUUGGGUAACACUAACUGGAGGACCGAACCGACUAAUGUUGAAAAAUUAGCGGAUGACUUGUGGCUGGGGGUGAAAGGCCAAUCAAACCGGGAGAUAGCUGGUUCUCCCCGAAAGCUAUUUAGGUAGCGCCUCGUGAAUUCAUCUUCGGGGGUAGAGCACUGUUUCGGCUAGGGGGUCAUCCCGACUUACCAACCCGAUGCAAACUACGAAUACCGAAGAAUGUUAUCACGGGAGACACACGGCGGGUGCUAACGUCCGUCGUGAAGAGGGAAACAACCCAGACCGCCAGCUAAGGUCCCAAAGUCAUGGUUAAGUGGGAAACGAUGUGGGAAGGCACAGACAGCCAGGAUGUUGGCUUAGAAGCAGCCAUCAUUUAAAGAAAGCGUAAUAGCUCACUGGUCGAGUCGGCCUGCGCGGAAGAUGUAACGGGGCUAAACCAUGCACCGAAGCUGCGGCAGCGACACUAUGUGUUGUUGGGUAGGGGAGCGUUCUGUAAGCCUGCGAAGGUGNNNNNNNNNNNNNNNNNNNNNNNNNNNNNNNNNNNNNNNNNNNNNNNNNNNNNNNNNNNNNNNNNNNNNNNNNNNNNNNNNNNNNNNNNNNNNNNNNNNNUGGAGCUGAGACCAGUCGAAGAUACCAGCUGGCUGCAACUGUUUAUUAAAAACACAGCACUGUGCAAACACGAAAGUGGACGUAUACGGUGUGACGCCUGCCCGGUGCCGGAAGGUUAAUUGAUGGGGUUAUCCGUAAGGAGAAGCUCUUGAUCGAAGCCCCGGUAAACGGCGGCCGUAACUAUAACGGUCCUAAGGUAGCGAAAUUCCUUGUCGGGUAAGUUCCGACCUGCACGAAUGGCGUAAUGAUGGCCAGGCUGUCUCCACCCGAGACUCAGUGAAAUUGAACUCGCUGUGAAGAUGCAGUGUACCCGCGGCAAGACGGAAAGACCCCGUGAACCUUUACUAUAGCUUGACACUGAACAUUGAGCCUUGAUGUGUAGGAUAGGUGGGAGGCUUUGAAGCGUGGACGCCAGUCUGCGUGGAGCCAACCUUGAAAUACCACCCUUUAAUGUUUGAUGUUCUAACGUUGGCCCCUUACCGGGGUUGCGGACAGUGUCUGGUGGGUAGUUUGACUGGGGCGGUCUCCUCCCAAAGCGUAACGGAGGAGCACGAAGGUUAGCUAAUCCUGGUCGGACAUCAGGAGGUUAGUGCAAUGGCAUAAGCUAGCUUGACUGCGAGCGUGACGGCGCGAGCAGGUGCGAAAGCAGGUCAUAGUGAUCCGGUGGUUCUGAAUGGAAGGGCCAUCGCUCAACGGAUAAAAGGUACUCCGGGGAUAACAGGCUGAUACCGCCCAAGAGUUCAUAUCGACGGCGGUGUUUGGCACCUCGAUGUCGGCUCAUCACAUCCUGGGGCUGAAGUAGGUCCCAAGGGUAUGGCUGUUCGCCAUUUAAAGUGGUACGCGAGCUGGGUUUAGAACGUCGUGAGACAGUUCGGUCCCUAUCUGCCGUGGGCGCUGGAGAAUUGAGGGGGGCUGCUCCUAGUACGAGAGGACCGGAGUGGACGCAUCACUGGUGUUCGGGUUGUCAUGCCAAUGGCACUGCCCGGUAGCUAAAUGCGGAAGAGAUAAGUGCUGAAAGCAUCUAAGCACGAAACUUGCCCCGAGAUGAGUUCUCCCUGAGACUUUAAGUCUCCUGAAGGAACGUUAAAGACGAUGACGUUGAUAGGCCGGGUGUGUAAGCGCAGCGAUGCGUUGAGCUAACCGGUACUAAUGAACCGUGAGGCUUAACCUU
rnacentral:rRNA from 1 species